rnacentral:sRNA from 1 species
AUGUACCACUCGUACACUCCGGUUCCUGUGCGCCGCCCGCACCCACCUGACGACUGCUGUGCCGUGGAAGAAGCCGCCGCUCAGACGGCC